UACGUAGGGGGCAAGCGUUGUCCGGAAUCAUUGGGCGUAAAGCGCGUGUAGGCGGCUCGGUAAGUCUGCUCUGAAAGCCUGGGGCUCAACCCUGGGAGGCGGGUGGAUACUGCUGAGCUCGAGUCCGGAAGAGGCGAGUGGAAUUCCUGGUGUAGCGGUGAAAUGCGCAGAUAUCAGGAGGAACACCGAUUGCGAAGGCAGCUCGCUGGGACGUCACUGACGCUGAGACGCGAAAGCUAGGGGAGCAAACAGG
rnacentral:rRNA from 1 species